rnacentral:ncRNA from 1 species
GUGUCUUAGAAAAGAAGAGUGGGGAGUACUGUACUUGACAAGGAUGGAAGAGACCCUCGGGCCUGACAACAAGCUUACAGUUAAGGCAUUGCCACCCACUUCAUGGCAUCCAACUAUCAUUUUUA